AAAAUAACCAGCGAAAAAAAACCCCGGACGUACGAGCAAAGUCGCAUGCCCUCGAGCGAGAACGACUCGCACGCUAGACUCCCUGCCCUCGUUCGUCGCCGCCUUCAUCCCUUCGCCUCCGCCGCCCUUCAUCCCUUCGCCGCUGCACUCGGUCUCACAUCAAAGGCGCCCCACUCGCGGGAGAGGAUGAGCUGAUCUCCAUGGCCAGAUGAGGGAGGAAUACGGGUGACGGGAUGGAUUUGGAUCUCAAGGCGGGGAGGCCAACGUAGCCGCCCCUAGCGCGUCGAGCGAAAGCGAAGGAUUUGGAUCUCAUGGAUUUGGCUGCGUCGACCAGCAGAGGACCGCCGCCGGCUCGGCUCCUCCACCACAAAGCAACCUCCUUCCACCCCGUAGCCGCCGCCCAAAACCCUAGCAAUCGAGCCCCACCCAUGGCGCCCUAGGUGGUACAGCGGCCAGAGGAGAGGAGAGGAGAGGAGGUGGAGCAGCCAUCGCCUAGACGUGAGCGGUGAAUGGGCAGCGCGGGCGUCGAGCAGGAUCAUGGGGGAGCAGGGGAGGCCAGAGGCUGCUCACCAUAUACAUCGCCAUCCAUAGCCUCCCUCGUCCGCCAAGAAGCUGAGGAGGGAGGCUGACCUCCAGUGACCACUCUGCACCGCUCUGGACGACACCCUCCCCCACCAGAGAGAAAGUGCAAAAGCUAUGGGCAAUCCUAUAUGACUGGCGCCAUCAGUAAGGAUUUAUUUAAAGCUAGCUUACUUUUGGGUCUAAGCCAAGUUUAUUUCUUUCGCAGAUUUAUUCACCUUAUUGGGACGGUGGGGUUAAUAUAUAUACAUCAACUUUGAGCAUCAGCAACGCAUGAAGCUUGCUUCUGAGGCUGCAACAUACUUUGCAAUCCCCCUGUGAAACAUACUUUUGUCACUAUGCACAUAUGGUUAUUCGAACGAAUUGAUUUCGAUUAGACUAUCUUUUUCCUAAUUACUUGUUAUAUGAUGUUCUUUACUAUUCAGAGGUUGUUGAAGGGAGAUGGGGCUCUUCUGGCCCCUUUGGUGCAAAAGCACAAGCAACAGCAUCUACAGCUGACCACUCAUAGCCUAGGAUGUCCUGCAGAUUUGAUCUAUUUUGGAUAGAGACAUGGAAUCAAACCACAGGUUGGUUUUACGUUUCUUAUUGGAAGAGUGAGAUGCCCAGGACAGAAUCCAGUUUGUAUCAACGCCUCAUUGAAUAGAAUCAUGUAGAUUCUGCUUCAUACAAGCUUCAUAAAGAAAUAGUUUUAACGGAGGACUUCAAAGAGUAUUUUGCCAAAUUUGGUAAAGUGCGGGGAUGGAGGGCAGUCAGCAUCCACCUCGAGGCAGAGGGGUGGGCAGAAGGACGGUCGGUGUUCAACUCUCUACGGUUCAAAACCAAGUCCAUCCAAGCCUCAAAGUAUAAAGAAGGCGCCUAGACACUCGAUGGGUGGUGUAAACCGUAGGGUGUCCAUUGGUGGAGCCAUGAUGCAAGCAUCCAAAACAGACAUAUUGUAUACGAAGAAUGUUCAUGCUGCCAAGAGAAGUGAAGACAUUGCCCAUUUGUCCCCUGGAUGGGCGUGUAACUAGAGAACAAAACACUAUGGCGGCAAAUGAGACUAUCGAACCGAACUGAUUGUACUGAAAACUAGGACCUAAACUUGUGCUGCUGGCCAACCUUUUCUUCAGGGAAUGCCAAGAUAUUCGCCAAACAAAGCCAUAGGAUGGUGCUAUACACAGAGGACAACCUAUCAGCAAGUCGGGCUCCAGUGUGUUUGGGUCAGCGUCCACGGAGGAGCAGAUAACUGACGACAUUUACGCUGCCGGGCUCACUAUCCUCAUCACACAUGACCACAACCCACCCAACCGACUGUUACAAUGGUCGUGGAGCUUCUUGGAUUAAAAUUGCAAAGAGUAGUACUGGAAAGCUUCAUUUUCGCAAUACAAAAGGUAGGAAGACCAUACGAAGACCAAUACAAAAAGGAGGAUGCAUGAGCUUCAGAUCUGAUUGAAUUUAGUCAGAAGAUGGAGACUUGAAGGAGGAAUUAGUGGAGAAUGGGAAGGUGGAUAGAACAUGGGAACAAAUCAAAUACGUGUAGUAUUCCUAUGAGGGGAGUGAGUGGAGACAGAAAUGAGUGCACGUGGAGCAGCUGCUGCCUAUGAGGCGAGUGAGUGGAGACGGCCAGAUCUAUGCGGCGGAGGGGCUAUAGAAGCUUGAACGAAAGAUUCGUCGCCAGCAUCGGAGCAAUUUAUUGGGCAGAUCGACACUAAAUCUCCUGCAUGGACGUGAAGGCAUGCCUUUAUUAAGUUCAAUCUUUGAAAACUUGGCAUGUGACGCUGUGUAAAAAUAGAAGAUGCUAGAAAAUUGUCUCUGGCCAAUUUCGUAUGUAGCCGUGAGCAUUGCUAAUUUCUGUCAACAUGAACGAUAUUUGGUCUGUUUAUAUAGCUACCAUGUGCUGAACAAAUUGUCUGAUUAAUGUAAUACUCCUGAAUAGAU
rnacentral:rRNA from 1 species